UUAAUAUUAAAUAAAAUAGGUAAUUUCUAUUACUCCUAUUAUUCUAUUAACAAAAAAUUUUAUCUUUAUAUAAAUUUAUAGAAAUUUCCCUGGCCUAAAAAAUUCCCUGACUUCCCUAACCGUUAGAUACUCUGAACAACAUCGUUUAUAUUAUUAGCUAAAAUGUUAAGAAAUUUAAAGUCAUUUUCAAAUUUCAAUAUUUUGAAGUUAGUUAUAACAAACGAAUUGCAAUAUUGUAUUAUUUUCAAAAAAGUUUUUUCAUAUUUACGAAUUGUGUUUGGACAUUUGCAAAAUGUAUUGUUUAGUACAUUGGGUGACUGAAAAAACUGUUAGUGUUGUGAAGGAAAGUGAAAUUCAAAAAAAAAAUCAGGAUCAGGCAACUGUUAAAUGGGGAAAUAAAACCUAUAAAGCAAAAAUUGUGGCAAUUCAUAGUUAGUAUUAUUGAGGUUAAAAUGUUAUUCUCAUUUCAUUUAUUUCCCUUUCAAUUACUUUAAAAAUGUUGUAAUUUUAUAUUUUACUUUUGAUUAUUAUUCAAUUCUAUAAAAUUUAUUAAUACAAAAAGUUUCCAAUUUUUUAUACAUAUCGAAUCUGUCCUGAACCUUCUUCUUAAAUCUACAAAAAAAGUUUUAAGAUAAUUGCUUUUUAUUUCACAAUUUUAUUCCAUGUCUUCUAUUCUAACAACCAAACAAUCUUUUUCACAUUCAAACUUUAAUAUUUUCUACUUUUCUCUUACAUUUCUUUUUAAAUGCUUCAUGUACCUGUUUUUUAUGUUAUGUAAAUUUCUUUAAUAAUUUUUAGAUGACGCAGAAUGGCUUCAAAGCCUUAUUGUCAAUAAACAUGGCAUUAUUAUUGAUAAUACGUGUGAAUCAAGUAACACUGGUAAAUAUUUUAAGAUCAUUUUUUAUCUAAUACGUACAAAAAUAGUGCGCUCUUAUAGUCAAUGAAAGCGUCAUUUCAUGUUAUUAGUCAUCAACAAGAAAUGUUAAAAUUUAAUACAAUUUAAUUAUUUAUAAUUAUCUUAACAGAUGCAUCGACCUCAACAGAGUUAUUUCAGGAGUCUUCAUUCUCUGAUUUGGAAACUAAUUUAUCAAAAUUAUCGAUAGUGCAAGAAAAGGAUGUCAUUGAAUCAAGUGAAAUUGUUUUAAACGAAGAGGAGCGAGAAAAAUUAAAUCGAUUUAUAAAUAAUGCAAAGAAAAUGACCACAACUAUUUUAUCUUUUAAAUUCGGCAAAAAAAGACUUAAAAAAAUGGCUCUAUCUGCGAAGAAUGACUAUGAAGUUAUACCAGAGGAAACAAUUAAAGCUAUUGAGGAUAUCAAAUUACUGGAAAAAAAUUGGUACCCCUGAACAAAGCAAAUAUAAAUAAAAGCACAAAAGGAACUCCGCUAAACGAUUUAGAGGAAAGAUUGUUGCCAUUAAUAUAAAGCGAAAAAAAGGAUAGCGCAAAUAAUUCAACAAGUAUUGUCAUAAAAAGAGAGCGGAAAUCACCGUUAAUUAAAAGGGCUACUUUGCUCCAUGUCAUCAGGAGAUGAAUCUGAUUCAUUUGAAUCACCACCAUCAAAACAAGUAAAGACUAUCAUCAGUGGCCAGCAACCUGCUCGAAAACUACUACCGAAGAGUGGUGGAAGUGUUCUCCUCGAC